AUGUACCCACGUACACUCCGGUUCCUCCGCGCCGUCCGCACCCACCUGACGACUGCUCGCUACGUUUUUUUAGCC
rnacentral:sRNA from 1 species